AGCGCUCUGACAUUCUCUGCAGAAAGUUCCUAUCGCAGCAGCAGAAAUAGGAGCUCUCGGUGUAAUUAACACAGAUACGGUGCAAGCCCGCAAAGUUUUCCUUCCUUUAACCUACAGUCAUGGCAGGGGAAGGGGAAAAAGAGGUGAAUGAAUGCAUCCUGGCGCACACAGGAAGAGAAACAAUCGGAAUAGGUGAAAGGGCUUUGUGGUGGAAAAAAUAUCAUCGCCAGUAGCUUGUUAAGGGAACUGCAAUUAAGCUUCGUUUGCAUUCAGUGAAGGUCUUUAUCUGGGUAUCCAGAGUUUCAUUAAGCAUCUUUUUAGAGCAUAAGAGAAAUCAAUAGCGAGCGAGUUCCAUUUACGCUUUUAUGAUGAGCUCAUUCAUGCCAAGGCGGAAGUAAAAUCCCCAACUCGAGUUAAUAGUCAAAGAAACAAAGUUCCUGCUUUAAAGUAAUGACUCCUCAGAACCAUACUACAAAUAAAGGUCUCUGAUCCAAAUCCCAUCUGCCUUCAUGCUCGACAGUGUUAAUAUCUCUCGAUUUUCAGGGACUAAUUUAGCAGUAAUGCAUUUCCCAAAGCAGAGCUGUAAAAGUAUUAUCAAUACUAUGGUUUAAUAUCCCUCACUACAAUCACUGCCUGAAAUUAUGGAGAAUCACAUGGAAACACAUCAACAGAGACGCACCCACACAGUGUUAUGACAUUUCCAGGGUUGGAGCUGGCGCUCGUGUUUAUAAAGCAGGGGAAUUCCACGCAUGGCGCUAGAACAGAUAUUUUAACACUGUCUGUUGUACUUUCUCAAAUGGUGCCAGAUGCUGGGUUCAUCAACCAAACGCAUGAAAACAAUGGUUUGAAAGCAAUUAGAAGCACCGAGGCUGCACCGAGGCUCAUAUUAAAAUGUGAUAACACUGUUCUAGUGGGAAUUGCGCUGCUGCUGCAUUUCUGCCAUGUCUGUGCUGGAAGCGGGGCCUGAUCGAGGAGGAACAUACUGGAAUUUAUUCCUGGAGUAAAUGAAGGAUUAGUGGAGUUGGAACACUCACAAGGGUUUUUAUUACAGCCCCAGCUCCCGUCUUGUUUGAACACCCGCAGAUCCUUCAGCCUGUGCUCACGUAUCUCAACCAUUACUGAAGGAGAACGGCCAAAGCCACCAAAGGCCAGGCCUUGGCUGCAGUGAGGAACGGGAGCUGAGCUCCAGCAAUCCCACAGAGCCAAAGGAGCCCCGAGUCAGCUCUCAGCAAAUACUUAUCCAUCAAUUGCCCCAAAUAUGCAGAAGUACCCACUGACACGGCUUGUGACCCGCAGGCACCCUGGAAAGUUUAAAUCAUCACCCGUAUUAUUGCGGAAAUGAAGAUCAAAGUCACAAUCAGAAUCUCCCAGCUUGUUAACAGACACAAUGAGAGAUGGUCACGGUCCUGAGGAGUUUACAGCCUGGCCAUUUGUCUACACCUGGAGGUUGAUCCAGUUUCAAGUCCGGGUUAACGUGCAGCAAUGAGACUGGAGGAAACUUGCUGCAGGUUCCCCAGCAGUCUGCUCCUACCAACGGCCCAUGGGAACAUUCGGCCCUUUCUGGACUUUAAACCUUUUCUGCAGACAUAAGUUUUGCAGGAAAAUUUCCUGGGCUAAUCCAAGACAACACAUUUACAUCAGCACCAGACAGUUUUGUAUUAUUUGCUCUCCAGGGUAAGUAGAAAAGGGUUUCUGCUAUUCAGAACACUAACCCCAGCUCCUGCUAUGGCCCUCACCACAACUUCACCCUUUUCCACCCCUAAGAAGCUCCACUCACAGAUACAUAUUCAGUUUAAGUUCUUCUCCUUGUUGACUCAGCAUCAAAACCACCAGACACAUCCAGCCCUCCCGGCUCCCCGGGCUCAGCGCAGGGAGAACUCGCCCCGUCUUCCCCGGCUCGUACUCACCUCGGGACACACACUCCAAGCGGUACCUGAAAGAGCAAAACAAACAAAAAGACAGGCAUGAGCAUACAUUGUUUUCUUCAUGAUUUAUUCCACCCUGAUGAAUAAGUUACAGCUGGGAGAAUCACGUCAGAACUGCCGCCAGGAACCCGGCAAACGGUCACCACGCAUUUAGUGCGAGAAGCCCCAAGAAGAACGAGGAGUAUCGCAGCCGCCAGCCGGCCCCACUUUCACACUUUGAGCACAUCUUGGGUUGACAUGAGUCACUUUAAUAAGGGAACAGCACUGGUGAGAUUUGGAAGCAGAUCCAAGAUUGGAGAUAAGCCCCAAAGUGACCCGUUCACAGGCAAGACGUGCAGAGGGUUGGUCUAUAGGCAUUAGUGGCAAGAAUCCAGUACAUAAAAAUCCAAUCAAUUUGUUUCCUCAUUAAAAGCUUUCACAAAGAAAAUGAUUUAACACAAACAUUCAAGCUACUGACACAGAUUAAUUAGAAAACAACAACAGAAUUCCGAUUAAGGGUAUAAUAUUUAUUUGACUUGCUUGCUUUGGACAAAGAAAAUAGAAUGUGUGUGCAGAUAGAGGAAACUUUGCUGGGUGAAGGGGCUCGGUGACAGAUCCCAGCUGCGUGAAACGGGAGGAGCCGCGGGGCUGCUGGGGCAGCCGUCCCCGUUGUCACCACCAGCCCUUUCCCGUCCACGUCCACAUCUUAUCUCUGAAGCCCAGAGAAGCGACACCAGCAGCCCAAGGGCAGAGGGACCGGCAGAGCAGCUCCAUCCUUUUGUUUCCAAUCAGCAUUAACUAUUACUUAAUGCUUCCUUGGAGAAUUCAAACAUUAUUCAAGGCUUGAUUUGAGAAUCUCCCUCCCUGGGCUCUGCAGGACCCGAGUUCCCCUCACCCCAAAUCCAGCACCCCCAGAGCUGAAAUACUUUUGUCUCCUGAACAGAUUGCGAGACAAGGACAGAAAAAUCACUCCUUGUUUUGUGAACUUUUGUCUCUUGUGCUUGAGAGACCGUCCUAAUCUCCCCUGAACAUGUUUUAGUGAUAACAUUUACUGCACUAGGACCAAAAUGAUUUUCUGUCACUUCUCAUUCCAGUUCAAUAAAAGUAU